CAGGCUUAACACAUGCAAGUCGAGGGGCAGCAUGGUCUUAGCUUGCUAAGACUGAUGGCGACCGGCGCACGGGUGAGUAACACGUAUCCAACCUGCCGUCUACUCUUGGACAGCCUUCUGAAAGGAAGAUUAAUACAAGAUGGCAUCAUGAGUCCGCAUGUUCACAUGAUUAAAGGUAUUCCGGUAGACGAUGGGGAUGCGUUCCAUUAGAUAGUAGGCGGGGUAACGGCCCACCUAGUCUUCGAUGGAUAGGGGUUCUGAGAGGAAGGUCCCCCACAUUGGAACUGAGACACGGUCCAAACUCCUACGGGAGGCAGCAGUGAGGAAUAUUGGUCAAUGGGCGAGAGCCUGAACCAGCCAAGUAGCGUGAAGGAUGACUGCCCUAUGGGUUGUAAACUUCUUUUAUAAAGGAAUAAAGUCGGGUAUGUAUACCCGUUUGCAUGUACUUUAUGAAUAAGGAUCGGCUAACUCCGUGCCAGCAGCCGCGGUAAUACGGAGGAUCCGAGCGUUAUCCGGAUUUAUUGGGUUUAAAGGGAGCGUAGAUGGAUGUUUAAGUCAGUUGUGAAAGUUUGCGGCUCAACCGUAAAAUUGCAGUUGAUACUGGAUAUCUUGAGUGCAGUUGAGGCAGGCGGAAUUCGUGGUGUAGCGGUGAAAUGCUUAGAUAUCACGAAGAA
rnacentral:rRNA from 1 species